rnacentral:rRNA from 1 species
GACGAACGCUGGCGGCGUGCUUAACACAUGCAAGUCGAACGGUAAGGCCCUUCGGGGUACACGAGUGGCGAACGGGUGAGUAACACGUGGGUGAUCUGCCCUGCACUUCGGGAUAAGCCUGGGAAACUGGGUCUAAUACCGGAUAGGACCACUGCCUGCAUGGGUGGUGGUGGAAAGCUUUUGCGGUGUGGGAUGGGCCCGCGGCCUAUCAGCUUGUUGGUGGGGUGAGGGCCUACCAAGGCGACGACGGGUAGCCGGCCUGAGAGGGUGACCGGCCACACUGGGACUGCGAUACGGCCCAGACUCCUACGGGAGGCAGCAGUGGGGAAUAUUGCACAAUGGGCGCAAGCCUGAUGCAGCGACGCCGCGUGAGGGAUGACGGCCUUCGGGUUGUAAACCUCUUUCAGCACCGACGAAGCGCAAGUGACGGUAGGUGCAGAAGAAGGACCGGCCAACUACGUGCCAGCAGCCGCCGUAA